UGUAGAUUUCAGCUUAUGUAGACGCUUCAAAACACGGAUAGGUUUCGCACUUCAUUAUUUCUUCUUGACGCUACGUGCACCUAGCCAAAUUAACUCAGACCUUCAACAAAGCGAUAACCUUUGAACGCAGUACAUUGAAAUGUUCAUGUUGGCGAUUAUACUAAGCUGAUCCAGUGUUAAAGGUCCUUUACCUUCGGUCUGUUCGACAUUCUGGGACGUACGGAACUCCGGAAGGCAGAAUUUCACGUGGACAGUUAUAUUUAUUGAUGAGAAGUGUUACACGCUUCCAAGCCCAGCUCGUGUUCACCUUACUGGUUCGAUGCAUCAUCUUGACGAGGAUAUGUGCUUAGAAAACUGAAAAUAAGUAAUUACGUCGGCAGCUUGAUCAGCUGAAAGUUGAAUAAGGUCAAUAAAAUCGCGCCCUUUUGUUUCAAUCGCAUGAGGACAAGCCGGAAACCAUCGACAGUGUUCUAUCCAGGGAUCGUCACCUGGUUCCCAUUUCCUUAAACCACCGUCACACGCGAAACAGCGACAAUGGUCGUCAACGCCUAAAAAUGAGUAAUACAUAUAAAUAUUUUAUGCAUGUAUUUUAUAGCUCUGUAUUAUGAAUGCAAACCAAUGACACUGCUAAACAAAUUAUUAUUAGAACCUUGUUUUGUGGCUCAGUAUUUAAGACAAAAGGUUCACGGCCACAAAAAAGUGCUAUAUCGUGAAUGACUUGCUGGUGUAGCUUUAAGUCCAUUUCGUUUAUGCUUAAUAUAGGUUUUACUAUAUUACAGCGUACUCAUAUGUUGACAAAAAAGUCAAUAAAAAACCGUUGAUGCAGCAGAAGUUUUUUUCAUAAUAAAAUUCGAUGACGUACAUUUCAGUGAAAGAUGAAUGCUUUCAUUGUGUCUUUGUUUGAGAACGCAUUCACUAUAUUGAAAAACAAAAUGACACCACUUUAAGAAAUACAAACGGUAUGAACACUUGAUAUACUGCGCAUCACUAGCUAUCGCAUUUAGAAGCUGAAACUGUAUUACUUUACCAAUGCAUAUGCUGUAUUUCAAUGUAUACGACGCCAAAUAAAAACGACUUCUGCAUA